AGCCAUGCAUGCCUCAGAAUAACUGCAUUGCAGGACUCUGCGCAUGGCUCAUUACAUCAGACAUAAUCUGCCGCAAUAACGUUGCGGUCCCCGCAAGACUGGAUAUCUUGGCGAAACGUCAAGCUAAUACAUGAACUAACGGGUUUUCCCCUCGCUGGGAGGCCUUGGAAUGAAUGAAAUUAAAAUCAACGCCACGUACGUGGCAGCAACCUUAGAAGUGUUGAAUCAAUUCAUUCCCACCGAAAGCUGGUUUACCAGCGUCUUUUGACGAAUAACUGCCCUAUCAGCUUGAUGGCCGUGUAGUGGACUGCCAAGGCGUUGACGGGAGCGGGGGAUUAGGGUUCGAUUCCGGAGAGGGAGCCUGAGAGAUAGCUACCACUUCUACGGAGGGCAGCAGGCGCGCAAAUUGCCCAAUGCCGAGAAAAUACGGUGAGGCAGCGAAAAGAAAUAGGACUUCUAGGCUUUGCUUGGAAGACAAUGGGGGAUAUUUAAUGCCAUCCAAAAUCGAGUAUCAAUUGGAGGGCAAGUCUGGU
rnacentral:rRNA from 1 species